rnacentral:rRNA from 1 species
GCAUGCCUAUAGCAUAGCAUUAAUGCAUCGUAUCCCAUUAGAACUCCACAGUUAAACGUGCUCAAGAUAGAGUAGUAUUGGGAUGGGUGACCGCCUGGGAAGUCCUAGUGUUUUGCAUGCC